rnacentral:lncRNA from 1 species
AUUAGAGAGUAGAGAGAAGAUUGGGAGUAGAGAGAAAAAAAAAAUUAGUUUCUCCUAAGUAUUACCUCCUUGUAUUCUCAGAUUAAUUGUUGUUAUCUCCUUGUAUUUAGAGAGUGUUGUAAUUCUCCUACUAUAGUGAAAUCCUCAUAUACUUGCCCGUAGACGUAGCCUAAAUUGGGUGAACCACGUAAAUACUUGUGUUCAUUUUCAGUUGCGAUUUCUCAAUUCCAUUUUGUUGUAAAGCCAAAGUCGACCCUCGUUAUUUCUAACACCAUACACGCACCGUAAGCGUAUUCGCCACCACCACCACCCAUUUUCAUUUUUCCAAUAAAUAAAAAAUAAAAAUCGGUUAAAAAUCCAAAGCAAAUUACCAGCACCCAUAUUCAUUCUCCUGUUUCUAAAUGCUACAGAUCAGUCAUUCCAUUAUCGUCUUCAUUGAAACUCUUAAUCCAUUCCAUUUACAGAUGCAAAAGCAGGUGUCAAAUGCAUCCGUCAAGGUUGGCUAAUCCAGUGCUUAGUGUCAAAUGCAAGAAUAGGGUUAACAUGUGAAAAUUGAUUUUCGAAUUGCAUUUGUUUGUAGGUCUUCUUAAUUUGAAACAAAUGGCUUCUUCAUUAUUCAGUGGAGCUGAAAAUCUCAAGUUCAUUGGGAACUUUUCUAAAAUUUCAUGAUAUACACUGGUUAGGGAAAAUGUGGGUAAAGGUUUUUGGAAUUGGGGAUAAUGGGUAGUUGGUGAUUUGAGGUGGUGACAAUUGUGGUGCGUUUGUGGGUGUUAACGUCGACCAUCGUCAGUGAUUUGCAUUGGCACUCGAUGGUGAGAGAUGGGUGGAAUGAUUUUGGUUUGGGUUGUGGGAGUGGGGGUAAUGAAGAAAAUCAUUUUUUCUUUUUUAAAAUUUUUAGUUUUAAAAUUUAAUUAUUUUGAUAGUUUA